AGAGUUUGAUCAUGGCUCAGAUUGAACGCUGGCGGCAGGCCUAACACAUGCAAGUCGAACGGUAGCACAGAGGAGCUUGCUCCUGGGUGACGAGCGGCGGACGGGUGAGUAAUGUAUGGGGAUCUGCCUGAUGGCGGGGGAUAACUACUGGAAACGGUAGCUAAUACCGCAUAAUGUCUGCGGACCAAAGCGGGGGACCUCCGGGCCUCGCGCCAUCAGAUGAACCCAUAUGGGAUUAGCUUGUAGGUAAGGUAACGGCUUACCUAGGCGACGAUCCCUAGCUGGUCUGAGAGGAUGAUCAGCCACACUGGAACUGAGACACGGUCCAGACUCCUACGGGAGGCAGCAGUGGGGAAUAUUGCACAAUGGGCGCAAGCCUGAUGCAGCCAUGCCGCGUGUAUGAAGAAGGCCUUAGGGUUGUAAAGUACUUUCAGUUGGGAGGAAGGCGUUGAUGCUAAUAUCAUCAACGAUUGACGUUACCAACAGAAGAAGCACCGGCUAACUCCGUGCCAGCCGCCGCGGUAAUAC
rnacentral:rRNA from 1 species